AGGAUUGUCACACUUCUUAGUUUCUAGCAUACGCAUAACCUACCAUUUCUUCAUACUCAUAGUUUGUGUAAAUAGCCCUUCCUGCACUGAACUUUAGUUGCACCCUCUACAUAUUAUAUUUCUUUAUUCUUUUCUCUAUAAUCUCUAUCAUAUCUAUUUUAUUUAUAAAUAUAAAGACAUUUAUCUCAUUCUAUUUAUAGGUCUUGUUCAUCCCCCUAAUGUUUCAUAAUGCUAUUCUUAUUUAGGGGGUCACCAAGAGGAGUGAUCCCUUUAAUACCCUAUAUACCCUGCUGCCAGUGUUGCUAGGAUUGUCCUGUAUAGUUAUCUGGCCAACCCUAUUCGGUGCAGCUAUUCUUGCUUGGUCCUGAUCAUCAAAAUCCUCAGAGUAGCAUUCAUUCUCUUACAAGGAUUUUAAGAUGGUGAGGUUUAAAUCUCAUGAGGAUAAGGAUGAUGAGCGGUGCUGAGGAUGAAGCUCAAACUAGAGGGCAGGGUAGGGGUUAUGGAUGGACCAGAGGUAGCGGAUGGGAGUGAUGAGCUACCUCAAUCAUAUAUAGUGCUAGGGGGAUCUCCACUGAGCCCAAGGUUGAGGUUGAAGGAGAUACAGGCUAGCUCAGUGUAACGACCUAAUUCCAUAGGUCAUGAUGGCACCUACUACAACCCGUCAGUACAGGUAUCUCAGCUCAUACACCACACAAGUAGGAGCCAGGAUAUCCAGCUUCUUUUGGCGAGCUUCAGUUUGCUUCGAGGCUUUCCGUGUCAUAUCCAGUCACUUUUGGUAUUGUAUAGAAGUUAUUUAUAUGACGGGGUGUGUCCCCCACCUUUGUUAAACUCUGUGCAUUGUCUAGAGGCUUUGUAGACCUAAUGUACAGUCAAGGUAGUGUUUUCUUAAUAGACGUGAUGGCUCCAACGGCCAAGUAUUGUAUAUA